CUUGUUUUCACAUUCCAGUGAUACGCUACUUAAGAGACUAUGCUGGCUUUUAUACCUGCAGGAAGAAGAACAUGAAUAUAUAAAUAAUAAGAAUGCAAAGAAGAUGGAGGAGAUUGGAUCCUGUAAGGGCAAAUCAACUGACAAACACUACCAAGAGAAAGUGAGAGAAACAAAGAAGAGCGGCUGCUUAGCCAGUCAAUCCUCAGCCUGUACCAGUGUAUGAGAUUGCUCCAUCCUAAGUGCAGGACUUUGCACUUGUCCUUAUUGACCAUCAUGGGCACACCCAGACAAGCCCGCAUGUGCCUCUUGCCACAUCUCAAAGCAGUGCUGCCCACAUGCAGCAGCACGCUGCCUGCCUGUGCAAGGCAAACAGUGAUGCAGGCUGCAGCAACCCAGACCCAGGCUCCAU